GGUGACCAUGAUUUUCAUUGGGAGGAUUGCCUGAGGACACUAAGGCAAGCCAAUGGAGGCAGGAGUGCCCAGGGGAGUGCAGACACCUGUCUUCAAAAUCAACACUAUCAAUUUCUUCUCAGAUUAUGGAUAUACUGCAAGGCACAGAUGACUGAUAUCUUCAUAUAAGGAAUGACCCAGAUGAUUAUAUAAAUCUACAUUUAAUUUUCAUUAGAAUUGUCCUAGGUAGUGCUUGAACUUUAAAUCCUGUAAAGUAGAAGCAAAUCUGUGUUUGCAAUAGAAAUUGCCAGAAGAAAGAACAAGGAAGACAUUUAGAUAAUUUCAUCUGGGUGUGCAAAGUCAUCACAAGAUCCAUCUUUCCAUUAUCUGGAAGUUGGGAGCCACCUGUUUUUCAUGACGGUCUGAUGGUUGGAAUGAGAAGCU
rnacentral:lncRNA from 1 species